AGAGUUUGAUCCUGGCUCAGAACGAACGCUGGCGGCAGGCCUAACACAUGCAAGUCGAGCGAUCCUUUCGGGGAUAGCGGCGGACGGGUGAGUAACGCGUGGGAACGUGCCCUCUUCUCCGGAAUAGCCCAUGGAAACGUGGAUUAAUGCCGGAUACGCCCUUUUGGGGAAAGAUUUAUCGGAGGAGGAUCGGCCCGCGUUGGAUUAGGUAGUUGGUGGGGUAAUGGCCUACCAAGCCGACGAUCCAUAGCUGGUUUGAGAGGAUGAUCAGCCACACUGGGACUGAGACACGGCCCAGACUCCUACGGGAGGCAGCAGUGGGGAAUCUUAGACAAUGGGGGAAACCCUGAUCUAGCCAUGCCGCGUGAGCGAUGAAGGCCUUAGGGUUGUAAAGCUCUUUCGCCUGGGAAGAUAAUGACGGUACCAGGUAAAGAAGCCCCGGCUAACUCCGUGCCAGCAGCCGCGGUAAUACGGAGGGGGCUAGCGUUGUUCGGAAUUACUGGGCGCAAAGCGCGCGUAGGCGGGCUGGAAAGUUGGGGGUGAAAUCCCGGGGCUCAACCCCGGAACUGCCCUCAAAACUAUCAGUCUGGAGUUCGAGAGAGGUGAGUGGAAUUCCGAGUGUAGAGGUGAAAUCCGUAGAUAUUCGGAGGAACACCGGUGGCGAAGGCGGCUCACUGGCUCGAUACUGACGCU
rnacentral:rRNA from 1 species